AGAGAUCAUGGCUCAGAAUCAACGCUGGCGGCGUGCCUCAGACAUGCAAGUCGAACGCGAAAGUCCCCUUCGGGGGAUGAGUAGAGUGGCGCACGGGUGAGUAACACGUAGGUAAUCUACCUUCGGAUGGGGAAUAACAACCGGAAACGGUUGCUAAUACCGCAUAAUGCAGCGGCACCUAAUGGUGACAGUUGUUAAAGCGGGGGAUCGAAAGACCUCGCGUCUGAAGAGGAGCCUGCGGCAGAUUAGCUAGUUGGUAAGGUAAUGGCUUACCAAGGCGAUGAUCUGUAGCCGGCCUGAGAGGGCGGUCGGCCACACUGACACUGACAUACGGGUCAGACUCCUACGGGAGGCAGCAGUCGGGAAUUUUGGGCAAUGGGCGAAAGCCUGACCCAGCAACGCCGCGUGAAGGAUGAAAUCCUUCGGGAUGUAAACUUCGCAAGAACGGGAAGAAUAAGUAGGGGACAAUACCCCCCAUGAUGACGGUACUGUUUGUAAGCUCCGGCUAACUCCGUGCCAGCAGCCGCGGUAAUACGGGGGGAGCAAGCGUUGUUCGGAUUUACUGGGCGUAAAGGGCGCGUAGGCGGCCACCGCAAGUCAGUUGUGAAAUCUCUGGGCUUAACCCAGAAAGGUCAACUGAUACUGCGGGGCUAGAGUGCAGAAGGGGCAACUGGAAUUCUCGGUGUAGCGGUGAAAUGCGUAGAUAUCGAGAGGAACACCUGCGGCGAAGGCGGGUUGCUGGGCUGACACUGACGCUGAGGCGCGAAAGCUAGGGGAGCGAACGGGAUUAGAUACCCCGGUAGUCCUAGCCUUAACGAUGAAUGCUUGGUGUCUGGGGUUUU
rnacentral:rRNA from 1 species